ensembl:lncRNA
CGGCUCUCGACACUGGGCUGGUCGCUCUGGUUUACACCAAAUCCAACCACUCGUGGCCUGCAGAUCCUCAGUAUAAAUCGCUGGAAAAGCCUGACCUUGACAACCUCAUUCCUCAUUCCUUUCUUGUUACAGGUAAUAGAGCUGAAAAUGUGGUUUUAAUUAUAGCACUAAUGAAAACUGAAAAUCCAGACAGACACUUGACGAACUCUGCUGCGCUUUAUAUUACAUUUGUGCUAACUACAAAGUGCCCAGCUGGGUGUAACAUUAUCCCGCUUCCUCGGGCAUCCGCCUGACUGAAGCUGUGUAAUUGAUGUGGACUUUGGCAGGAGACAAGAGGCCUUUGGGUUGCAAUCUGAAGGUGGACCAGGCAGUGGAUUGUGAAGGCGAUUGGGCAAAGAGCCAUGAAGACCUGUUGUUGCUGCCCUUUGAGCCCUGAGAUGAUCUCCUCCCUUCCUGGAUAGGUUGGGGAGCCCCACAUGAGACUGGAAACAGGGCUGACCCACGUGCGGAGCCCUCAGUGCAAAGUCCUCUCUGCUCCCCAAGCCUGCAAUCCCAGCCGCAGCCCCGGGGCCUGGAAACUCCGGCCGAUUUAUUAAAGCGUCCUCCCUGUCUGCCACCAUCAGGCUAGAAUUGUUCCGAACAAAAGAAGCAUGAAUUGCUGGAAACUAUAUAUUAAAUGCAAGACUAUUUGUCUAGUUUUCAUUGGGUGCUGAGUGAAGAGCCUCAACUCCUCGUAUUCCCAUGGUACUCAGAUGUCCGCGGAGUCCGCUGCUCCUCACACUGUCAUUUCUCUCACUGGGCACAAUCCGGCUUUAAAGAAUCCGACACUUACUGGUCUUUAUGGAACUGUCAGCAGUGACAGCAACCAGGGACACUGCCAUGUCUUGCUGUUUACAAAGGAUGAGCACAACAAGGCAUCUCGAUGACUUGAUAAGCCCUGAGCUCCUCUCUCCCCAACUCUGGCCUCUCUGGACCAGCGGCCUUUGCAUGGCCAGCUAAAGACACAAGAAUUAAAACUUGAUCCAAACACUAACAAGUCUGCAACCACGGCCAUGAAGAUAAAGUAGGGCUGCUCAAGGUUGCUUGGUAAACAGCGAAAACAGAGAAACAGGAGGAUCCUUAUAUGCACAGGUUAUUUUUCUUUCAGUAUACUUAAAAUUUAGUGGAAAGAAAUCCUAGGCUAGCAUUAAAUUCAUAGAUUAUUAUUAUGGUCUUGAAUAGUUCAUCUUGUUUUCUCACUCUGACACUCCUUCACUUCUUUAGAAAUUCCAGCCAAUAAUGUUGUAGCUAAAUUAAGAUCAAAGUUUUUCUUUUUAUUUUAGGGGGUUGAAGGCUGAUCAGGGGAGCACAGGCUUAGCAUGCACAAGGCCCUGCUUCAGUUCCUGCAGUCUGCACCCCAAAAGAGCUUUUAAAAAAAGUUUUCUGAACCUACUAAUUUUUAUUUAGGGAAUUUAGGUAUGUCUUGGAAAUUAUAUAAAUGUAUGUGCUUUUCUCUUUCUGGCAUGCUAAGUUACGGUAGCCUUGGAAGUUGAAACUCUGUCCCCCUUUCCUUUUAUUGUUUUUCAACAUUGAACACAUGGAAGAAGAAAGGAAACUUUCACAUGCUUAUGUUGCACUGGUUCAAUGGUUUUGUUAAGUCUCACACACACAUCUCAUAGCUCUACCAACUGCAUAGGGUUUAAGAAUAUUGUCUUUCUUCAAUUCUAGGACAGGUUGGGCCAAUGGUGUUUGUCUUCUGAAAGUAUUCCUAGAAAGGGUCUUCUAAGACCCUUGAAUAAAGAUUUUACAAUAGACUUUUCCCAUCACUUGCUGCUCCUUUCUUUCCUUUUUUUUUGGUACCGGGGAUUGGACUCAGGACCUUGGGCUUUCGAGGCAGGCGUGGUGCCACUGAGCUAAGUCCCUGGACCUACUCUGCUCCUUUCUUGCAGAAAUGCUAUUGCUAAAAGUAACAUAUGUCAUAGUUCAUAGAGCAAAGUGUCUUAAUUUUAGCAAUGUGAUAUCCACAUUCAUCACAAGACUGUAGCUUUACAUUGACAGUUACAGAAAGAAAUCUCAUCUUGAUCAUAAGGCAGAAUCUUCCUGGGGCCAGGUCUCUGCUGAGAAUCUUUCUGAACAGUUCUUUUGAGAUACAUGCCUAAUCUUUACUACAGUGUCUGUAUGUAGAGUUAGCUUCACUUGGAAAUCAUUGCUUCACAGGUAUUAUGUCUCAGAUUUUGAGCAAAAGUGGGUAUUCCCUUUAGGUUGAAACUGAAGUUCCAGGGUCUGUCCACCUCUACAGAACACAUUAUGGGUGACAUUACAAACCCAGGGCUGUGUGCUUGCAGAUAAGUCCCCUAUGUUGCCACUUUCUCCCGUGAGCCCAGUCUGAAGGUGGAGUUCCUGUUUUCCCUGGGACACUCAGGACAGAGGGCCCGCUAGUUGAGCUCUUAGAGUGAUAAAUAGUGCAAUGCAAAACAGCACGCUCACAGCUGAUGUCAACCUCUACUCCAUCUAAAAAAAUAUUUGGAGUGAAUAGAGUUAUGUAGCUAGGAAAUGAUGCAAAGGAAGAAUAUUCUGUACAGGUCAGUGUUUGUACCAUCAGAAUUAGCUAGUACAUAGAGUUGAUACUGCUGGUGGCUGCCUCUUUGUACCUCUUUGAUGUGUUGGAGGCAAUUUCCAUCCUCCUAAACAAGUUAAAUACAUUUUAUGAUUUUGACAGGC